rnacentral:snoRNA from 1 species
GCCCUGUGGUUACUGGAUGCUGUUAAUGAACAAGAGCAAUGCUGUGCGUUAUGCAUGGGGACUGUUCCUCCUCAGCAGCUCCAUAGCCUUGACACGGGUACAUGA